CACGUAGGGCGCAAGCGUUGUCCGGAAUUAUUGGGCGUAAAGAGCUCGUAGGCGGUCUGUUGCGUCCGCUGUGAAAACUCGGGGCUUAACCCCGAGCCUGCAGUGGAUACGGGCAGACUAGAGGUAGGUAGGGGAGAAUGGAAUUCCCGGUGUAGCGGUGGAAUGCGCAGAUAUCAGGAGGAACACCGGUGGCGAAGGCGGGUCACUGGGCCGCAACUGACGCUGAGGAGCGAAAGCAUGGGGAGCGAACAGG
rnacentral:rRNA from 1 species